rnacentral:rRNA from 1 species
UACGAAGGGGGCUAGCGUUGUUCGGAAUUACUGGGCGUAAAGCGCACGCAGGCGGCUCGCUAAAUUAGGAGUGAAAGCCCCGGGCUUAACCUGGGAAUUGCUUUUAAGACUGGCGAGCUAGAAUCCAGAAGAGGGUAGUGGAAUUCCGAGUGUAGAGGUGAAAUUCGUAGAUAUUCGGAAGAACACCAGUGGCGAAGGC